CCUAACACAUGCAAGUCGAACGGUAACAGGAAACAGCUUGCUGUUUCGCUGACGAGUGGCGGACGGGUGAGUAAUGUCUGGGAAACUGCCUGAUGGAGGGGGAUAACUACUGGAAACGGUAGCUAAUACCGCAUAACGUCGCAAGACCAAAGAGGGGGACCUUCGGGCCUCUUGCCAUCGGAUGUGCCCAGAUGGGAUUAGCUAGUAGGUGGGGUAACGGCUCACCUAGGCGACGAUCCCUAGCUGGUCUGAGAGGAUGACCAGCCACACUGGAACUGAGACACGGUCCAGACUCCUACGGGAGGCAGCAGUGGGGAAUAUUGCACAAUGGGCGCAAGCCUGAUGCAGCCAUGCCGCGUGUAUGAAG
rnacentral:rRNA from 1 species